GACGAACCGUGCAAACGUUGUUCGGAAUCACUGGGCUUAAAGGGCGCGUAGGCGGGUUCGUAAGUCUGUGGUGAAAGCCCCCAGCUUAACUGGGGAAGUGCCAUGGAUACUGCGAGUCUUGAGGAGGGUAGGGGCAUCUGGAACACUGGGUGGAGCGGUGAAAUGCGUAGAUAUCAAGCGGAACACCAGUGGCGAAGGCGAGUCCCUGGAGAACUACUGACACUGAGGCACGAAAGCUAGGGGAGCAAACAGG
rnacentral:rRNA from 1 species